UACAGAGGUCUCAAGCGUUGUUCGGAUUCAUUGGGCGUAAAGGGUGUGUAGGUGGCGCCGUAAGUCGGGUGUGAAAUUUCGGAGCUUAACUCCGAAACUGCAUUCGAUACUGCGAUGCUUGAGGACUGGAGAGGAGACUGGAAUUCACGGUGUAGCAGUGAAAUGCGUAGAUAUCGUGAGGAAGACCAGUGGCGAAGGCGGGUCUCUGGACAGUUCCUGACACUGAGGCACGAAGGCCAGGGGAGCAAACGGG
rnacentral:rRNA from 1 species